UUAACUCAAAAUUUGUAUGGAGUUGGAACGUUUGCGUACGUUUGCCGCUAGGGGCGCUGUUCCAACUGCAUACAAAUUCGAGUUA
rnacentral:pre_miRNA from 1 species